GCCUUCGUUGAGCAGUGUAGCUCGCUCCCGCCCGUUGAAUGGCAAGGACACCAACGUGAAAGGGAGAGCCGGCGGUUCGACCCCGCCCGGAGGCA